UUCCUAAUUAUAAAAUCAACUACCUAAUGAAUGAACAUAGGUCUAAAAUUUGAAGCUCAUGAGUACACAUGCUUACCAAAACAGGAUCUAUGUAAGUUAGUAAUCCACACCAUUAAACCAAAAUAAAACUGGAUGUGCCAAAGUUCAUAGUUCAUUUAUCAUUACAAACCCAGAUUUUAAUCCUACUCACGCAUAUAGAUUCAGAAUAUCCCCCCCUCACAUAUAGAUUCAGAAUGCACUAAUAAUGAAGGGAGAAUUUUGAUUGACAAUUAUAGCUAGGGAACUACUACAACGUAUGGAACACAAUAGAAAAAACAGAAAAUUAAAUAAGUGCAACUUGUAUUCUAUCAAAUUUCCAUCGAAUCACAUAGCUAGCAUUCACUUGUUACUCAUGAAUAGAGGAAUACCUGAGAAGCAAAAAUGACAAAAUGAGAGGUCAGCUAUAAGAAGUAAAAGUCAGCGCCUGUUCAUCCAGUGGAACAAUAAACCAAGAUCAAGCAACUUCAACCCAAAAUUUCUCAAUAGACUUGAAUUCGGGUUUUUAAACCCAGAAUGGAAUGAAAUAAAAC
rnacentral:lncRNA from 1 species